CCGACGGAGCAGCGAAACCCUUCUUCCCUGCCCUCUCUCUUUCUUAUUCCUUCCCCAAAAUUUCCCUCUCUGAAGACUCUGUUUGUCUUGUUUUCUUCAGCCAACAGCAGAAUCGAUGCCAACUCCUGCUGCCUUCCAUCGGCGACGUCACGUGCCGAUCUCGCCGGAGCAGCAACAACCAUGGGAGCUUGUGUGAGCUCGAGUCCAUCUUGCCGUUGUCGGGAAUCAACUCCCCUCGGAUGGAUCCGUGACCCAACGCCCCAUCCAUAAGUUGUAGGUACAGGUAAAGAGUUACUUUGACGUGAGCGCGC